rnacentral:rRNA from 1 species
GUGCCAGCCGCCGCGGUAAUAUCGGCAGCCCGAGUGAUGGCCGAUCUUAUUGGGCCUAAAGCGUCCGUAGCUGGCCAUGCAAGUCCACUGGGAAAUCCACCCGCUCAACGGGUGGCCGUCCGGUGGAACCUGUGUGGCUUGGGACCGGAAGGCGCGACGGGUACGUCCGGGGUAGGAGUGAAAUCCUGUAAUCCCGUCCGGACCACCGAUGGCGAAAGCACUUCGAGAAAACGGAUCCGACAGUGAGGGACGAACGCUAAGAUCGCGAACCGGAUUAGAUACCCGGGUAGUC